rnacentral:rRNA from 1 species
UACGGAGGAUGCAAGCGUUAUCCGGAAUGAUUGGGCGUAAAGCGUCCGCAGGUGGCUGUGUAAGUCUGCUGUCAAAGAGCAAAGCUCAACUUUGUAAAGGCAGUGGAAACUACAUGGCUAGAGUGCGUUCGGGGCAGAGGGAAUUCCUGGUGUAGCGGUGAAAUGCGUAGAGAUCAGGAAGAACACCGGUGGCGAAAGCGCUCUGCUGGACCUUAACUGACACUGAGGGACGAAAGCUAGGGGAGCGAAUGGG